rnacentral:lncRNA from 1 species
AUGUUCAAUUCUCAAAAUGAUCUGCCUAGAGGGAAAAGACGUUUCAUGUCAACACCUGCAACCUGUGUGAACAUAACAGAUUUUCAGAUGUAUGUCCUGCCUAAACCAUCCCUUGUCACUCCAAAAGGCUCAGAAGACCUAGAGUUUGCACAUGCAGGCCUGGGUAAAAGACUUCUGAGUCUUCCAGACAACUUUCAACAGAGAUUGUUUCUCAGCUUGAGGAUGAAUUUCCAAAAUUGAAAAGUCUACAAGGAGGUUGGAUGUUUUACAAAUCGACAGGUGGUGGUGGGCAGCGUAAGCUGUCAGUUAUUACAGUCACUGCCAUAUGAUUCAGUUGAAUUCUCAAAGAUGCCACAGGCAAACUGCAUGAAGUGUGCCACAAAAAUACCACUGCAGUUGUCUAAAUCUAUGAAAUGUUAGGAGUAGUGAAGUUUAUCCCAACUCCAAAUUAUUUAUUAUAUCCUUAAUAUAUAGCUGUUCUCGCAUCCAGUUAGGUUUUCUUAUGUCUUACUAUCAGCCAUGAUCAUUCUACUCUGCUAAUUAAAAGGAUGUUUAUAUGCAUAUUAACCCCCCAAAAAAAAUCCACAUGAAGUGUCGAAAUCAUGCAGUCCGUGACGGACAUAUUGUUAACGUCUGGUCUAUGUGGUAAUAGUAUAUCGGGCAGGACAUCCAUAUGCUCACCUAACAUUCAUCGACCUUAAAUAUGGUUUAUCAUCUGAGAUAUGUAUGUAGUAGCAACUUUACAAGGCAGCUCAGUCUAAUGUUAGCCUAGAAAAAGUUAACGUUUGUGUGGAGUGUGAAGCUGAACAGUAGCGCGU